AGAGUCCCAAGUGCGCGCAAAUUCAAUUUUGGUAUUCUUUCAACAAAUUCAAUUUUGGUGCGUUUUCUUUCAUAUUUCUCAAGCACAAGAGGAAGAAGGAGAUAGAGAAGAAGAAAUCGAGAAGUUCCAAGCUGUGAUGCUCAGCGUGAGCAAACGCCUUCAUUGUUGACCCUUCCAACAUCUAAAUGCAAGCGCACACAGUCUUCCUUGGCUGCCACUGUGCCUC
rnacentral:lncRNA from 1 species